UGGGGAAUAUUGGACAAUGGGCGAAAGCCUGAUCCAGCCAUGCCGCGUGUGUGAAGAAGGUCUUCGGAUUGUAAAGCACUUUAAGUUGGGAGGAAGGGCAGUAAGCGAAUACCUUGCUGUUUUGACGUUACCGACAGAAUAAGCACCGGCUAACUCUGUGCCAGCAGCCGCGGUAAUACAGAGGGUGCAAGCGUUAAUCGGAAUUACUGGGCGUAAAGCGCGCGUAGGUGGUUCGUUAAUUUGAAUGUGAAAGCCCCGGGCUCAACCUGGGAACUGCAUCCAAAACUGGCGAGCUAGAGUAGGGCAGAGGGUGGUGGAAUUUCCUGUGUAGCGGAGAAAUGCGUAGAUAUAGGAAGGAACACCAGUGGCGAAGGCGACCACCUGGGCUCAUACUGACACUGAGGUGCGAAAGCGUGGGGAGCAAACAGG
rnacentral:rRNA from 1 species